AUGAAUCAAAUUCGGUCUGCUGUGCUGGUGGCAACACAUGUGCACGUCGAUCGUAAUUCCAUCCUCCUCCCAACCGUCCAUGUGUGUGUUUGGUCGACCUCGGUCGAAGAGUUGUGGCCCUUGGCCUCGAUUCGUUCCAGAUGCACCUUGGUUAUUUCACCCACUCUGGGUAUUAGAAACAAAGAACACUUUAUAUAAACUAUA
rnacentral:misc_RNA from 1 species